rnacentral:rRNA from 1 species
UGGGGAAUCUUCCGCAAUGGGCGAAAGCCUGACGGAGCGACGCCGCGUGGGGGACGAAGGCCUUCGGGUCGUAAACCCCUGUCAGAGGGAAAGAAGGGUAUCGGUGUAAAUAGCGCCGAUAUUUGACGGUACCCUCAGAGGAAGCCACGGCCAACUCCGUGCCAGCAGCCGCGGUAAUACGGAGGUGGCAAGCGUUGCUCGGAAUCACUGGGCGUAAAGGGCGCGUAGGCGGGGAGGUAAGUCGGGUGUGAAAUCCCUCGGCCCAACCGAGGAACUGCGCCCGAGACUGCUUCUCUUGAGUCCCGGAGAGGAAGAUGGAAUUCCCGGUGUAGCGGUGAAAUGUGUAGAGAUCGGGAGGAACACCGGUGGCGAAGGCGGUCUUCUGGACGGUGACUGACGCUGAGGCGCGAAAGCGUGGGGAGCAAACGGGAUUAGAUACCCCCGUAGUCC